rnacentral:misc_RNA from 1 species
UCUCCGUAGGUGAACCUGCGGAGGGAUCAUUACAGAGUUCAUGCCCUACCGGGUAGAUCUCCCACCCUAUGUUAUUAUUACUUUGUUGCUUUGGCGGGCCGUUAGGCUCCGGCCCGACUACCGGCCCCGGCUGGUAAGCGCCCGCCAGAGGACCCAAAACCCUAAAUAUUAGUGUCGUCUGAGUACUAUAUAAUAGUUAAAACUUUCAACAACGGAUCUCUUGGUUCUG